rnacentral:rRNA from 1 species
UACGUAGGGUGCAAGCGUUAUCCGGAAUUAUUGGGCGUAAAGAGCUCGUAGGCGGUUUGUCACGUCUGCUGUGAAAACUCGGGGCUCAACCCCGAGCCUGCUUCCGAUACGGGCAGACUAGAGGUAUGCAGGGGAGAAUGGAAUUCCUGGUGUAGCGGUGAAAUGCGCAGAUAUCAGGAGGAACACCGGUGGCGAAGGCGGUUCUCUGGGCAUUACCUGACGCUGAGGAGCGAAAGUGUGGGGAGCGAACAGG